AUUGAACGCUGGCGGCAGGCCUAACACAUGCAAGUAGCACGAGUGGCGGACGGGUGCGUAAUGUCUGGGAAACUGCCUGAUGGAGGGGGAUAACUACUGGAAACGGUAGCUAAUACCGCAUACCAUCGGAUGUGCCCAGAUGGGCUUAGAUAGUAGGUGGGGUAACGGCUCACCUAGGCGACGAUCACUAGCUGGUCUGAGAGGAUGACCAGCCACACUGGAACUGAGACACGGUCCAGACUCCUACGGGAGGCAGCAGUGGGGACUAUUGCACAAUGGGCGCAAGCCUGAUGCAGCCAUGCCGCGUGUAUGAAGAAGGCCUUCGGGUUGUAAAGCACUUUCAGCGGGGAGGCGUUACCCGCAGAAGAAGCACCGGCUAACUCCGUGCCAGCCGCCGCGGUAAUUC
rnacentral:rRNA from 1 species